GAGUGAACAACUUUGGUGACUUGCGGGGUUGAUAUGACCCACAAUUCAAUGCAAACUGUAGACACAUGUCAAACUCGGGUAUUGGAAUACAUUACCAAACUAUAAAACUAGCUAGCUACCUGACAGGAGUGCUAGCUAGAUACGUUCGCUUACUAGGUACAUUAAUAGCUUUAGAUUGGUUGUUUAUACACUCAACUUCAAGAUUUCCAAGAACGACGUUACCUCCUAUCAUCACGCUCCCUCGCUUUGGCAAGGGACAUUUAAAGAGGAAUGGAAACAGUUUAGGAAGUGAAUCUAAGCAAAGAUAUACAUUCAAUCCACUAAUAAUAAACAUGUACAUUUAACACAAAACAUCUCUAUAUUUAGUAUUUUGAUCGCCGACAAGGUUUAUUUGAGUUAUGGUCAUCGCCAUUUUAAAUUGCAAUAUUAACAACCGACGCCAGUGAGUCACUGGCAGGAUUCAGCAAAUUGUCUGUGGUAUUGAGUUUUCGGCGCAGACAGUGAAUCGAAGAGAGUGAGGUUAGGGGCGGACAACGAAGAUAGCAACAGCAAGUAGUAAUUCAAACAUUAACCGUAUAGCACCAGGCUGUAUGAAUUGGCUCCAAAAAAUCCCUCGGUAAACUACCAUCGGCUGCCUAAGGACAUACAACUUUUGAAGAAGUGGCUCCAUGUCCUGAAGAGGAAGGACGUGCCAGCUUGAGCUACCAGGAUCUGCAGACAGCAUUUCGCGGAGGCAGACUUCGCGAUGAAGGGCACUUUCUAUGCGGCAACCGGGAGUUUCCGAAUGGAAAGGCGUCAUAGGCCUAUGUUGAAGCCCUUUGCCAUUGAGGGUUAUGGUGUAGGGGUUACCGACCGAGCAUCAUCAAAAGCGACUGAACAGAGGCGACGCGAGUCAAUGCAAUGGAGCCCCAGAGGAUGAUGUUUUCAUCCUGGAGGAGACUGUGCAGGAGGCAGAUGCCUUAAUUGUUUUCUACCAACAGAAAGAAUGGUUAGUACAGCAUGCCAAACUGACCCCUUGGUGCCAGAGUGUUCCUGUGCUGCGUUGGAGAAGAGGUCUACCGGGACCAUCAUUAAAGAGUUUAGGGCUCAGCUAGAUUGCGCUCACGACCAUCAGUAUACAACCGAGUCCUGCCCCGAUACGCCACAGAUGGAGCUGACGGAGAGUGAGAUCAAUGAAGACCAUAACUCACUGUAUGAACCUAAGGCCUCAAAAUCACAAUCAUCACAGUGCGAGCCAAGAUAUACUAUCGAUCAGCGGGAUGGUGUUCCGAAAAUAAAGGAGCUGGCCAUUCAACAGCGAAUUCAUAAGAUACACCCAUCCAUAAAGGGAAUCGGAGUAGAAUUGUUUUUCCACUGAUUUAAAUUUUUUUUUUUUUUUACCCGUUUCAAUGGAUGUGUUACCUUGUCCCGGUUCUGCUGUUUCAACUCUCUCUCUCAACCUAUUAGUGCUCAGCUGUGAAAGGCUAACUGACAUUUGCUCCUGAGGUGUUGAACUGUUGCACCCUCAGUGUGAAUAACCACUCAGAGAAUAAUAACCACUGUGGUUAUUAUUUUUAUGUAAAAAGGGCUUUUAUCAAAUAUAUUUGAUUGUUUGCUGUGCUGGAUGCUGUGUAUUCACUAACUUAGUGAUGGGACAUUUUUAUAGUAUCUGUAACAUAUUUUGGUGUUUAUUUAUUCUGCAUCUUAACUUCUUAAAGUGGUAAUCAGCAGUAGAGACAAUAACAAAGGGACUCCCUGCUCCUCUUGGUAAAAAGCUGAUGGAUGAGUCUGGAAAAAUGUAACCACUCAAAUUCAUAGACCGCUAUAGAUGCAAAGACGGACCAUCCACGAUAUCAAAAUUAUAUAAUCCUGUUUCUAUGAUCUGUUUCCACUACCAUGUACCCAGUUCGCUUUGGAUAAAGGCGUCUGCUAAAUGGCAUA